UACACACAUAUACACACAUGCACAGGCCAUACAGCACACACACGUGUGCACAGACCGUGCAGUGCAUGUGUACAUUCAAGUGCACAGACCACAUGGCACACACAUGGCGCACAUAUGUACGCACACGUGUGUGCACAGACCACGCAGUGCACAUGUACACUCAAGCGCACAGACCACAUGGUGCACACACGUGCUCACACGUGUGCACAGACCAUGCAGUGCACGUGUACACUCAAGCGCACAGACCACACGGAGCACACACGCAGUCACACACGUGUGUGUACACUCCUGCCCUUAGGUCUGUAGUCUUUCUCUUUGACCCUGCUGGGUUUAAGCUGCCCAGGGAGGAGCCACAAGGAGUCACUGGUUUUGGGGUCCUGUGGUGGGGUAUCCGACUCCUGGGCCACAGUGGCAGAGGUCCAGGCAGGGGCCAGUCAGGGUCUCACGCUGCCUGUCCCCCCACAGCCUGGUGGCCAUCCAGAGGAGGGAUUCUGCCAGAUGCCAAGAUGCCCUGGCGUCCGUAUGGGUGUCUGGUGGGUCCUGCAUUUGGUCUGCCUGGAGGUGCUGGCCACUCCCUGUGCCCUCUUGGGACGUGUGGCCCAGCCUGGAAUCCCAGGCCCCGGCCCUGGCAGGUGCUGCCGCCCCUCUUGGUUCCCUGGCCCGGCUCCUCCCUCUUGUCUUGUCCGUGUAAAAUCACAGUCCGCGAAUCUUCCGGCUGCCACCGCAGCUGGGACACGCUGGGGGAGACCCCUCCCGUGCCUCCCACACACAGGUCCGAGAGUGGCAGGUGCCUGACACACCCCACCGGAGGACACGCUGCCCCUCAGCCAUGCCCCUCCCUUUUGGGGGCCUCACUUGGAGGCUGCAGUCACCUCUGGCCCUGUGAGGGCUUCUCCAGGGGGCCCUGUCGGAGCUGUGGGUCUCAUCGCCCCAGGCCCCGCCCAGAGGGGAGCUGCAGCCAGCACGCCAGUGUUUUCAUGUUUUCUCUGAGUCAGGACAACCCCACUCCCCUCAGGCUGGAGGUCUCCGUGUUCCUAGGCUCCAGACCCUGCGGCUGGAGGGAAGGGGAGGAAGACCCCAGCUGGGCUCGGUCCCCCACUUCUCUCUGGAAAGAGCUGGGCUCUGAGCGAUUUCUGGUUGUUUCCCGGAAGCCAAGGAGCUGAAGGAGCUGGCAGAGCUUUGCGGAAACACCCGUGUUGUCCCCACCACCCUGAGCUGUGAAUGCUACAGAGUGGAGGCUGGGGGUGUUUGCAAGGUCACAGCUGAUACCACCCAGCCCAGUGGCACAGACCCUUGAACCACACGUGGGGUGGGAGGGGCACUCGGAAGUCGGGACCGAUGUGGAGGGUGCCCGGCCGGGGGCUGAGCUCUGAGUGGUGGGCGCUCAGUGCCCGGGUGUCCCCUGACCCCGUCCAGUGCCUCCCAUACCCACGCAGAGCUCCCAGGCCACAUGGAUGCAUGUCCAGGGCAUGAGGGUGGGGUGAAGAGGCCUGGGCAGGACGCUCAGGGGCUGCCUGGGGGGCCUGUGUGGCUGUGCCAGGCCAGUCGUCCCACAUUCCCACCCAGGGGUGCAGGCUCCUCUUCAGCCCCAGCACAGUGCCAAGGAGCAGGAGAGACAGCUGGGGUGGGGCUUCCUGAAGGAAGCUGUGCACACCGAGAGGCUUUCUGUGACCCCGGGAGCGUGGGGGGGGUCCCGGUUUGCCCAACUCUGGUGUCUUGUAAGUGUGGGGCUGACCCUGGGAGAGGUGACUUCACAGGGGAGGUUGUGGGAGAUGGUGGAGGACGAGGGACUAGAAGGGGCCGCUUGGGAGGGGGGGCCCUGUUCUGUUUGAAAAGGCGUUUGUGGGGUGGGGUUGAGUGCACUCUGGCCUCAGACGCUUGCCGUGGUGGCUCUGGCUGGCCGAGGACACCGGGUCUGGCCAGUGGCAUCUCCUGAGAGGUCCUAGCGUCCGACUCUCGGCCAGGUGCCAGCGAGGAGAGGCCAGUCCUCGGGACUGCCAGGCGGGUGCGUGUACUCCCCCACACGCCCCAUGCCAACUCCGCCUGGCUUUUACAAAGUCGUUGCCUUAAUGCAUGUGGACAGGAACUCCCUGAGGCCACCCCAUGCCCCCCAGCUUGGCCAGGCAUGGAUGCCCUGGACCCUGCCUCCAGGCUGGGCGGGCGAGGGGCCCGAGGGCCGGGCUCCAGAGACAAGCGCAGGGCAGGAGGGGUCUCACACCGAGGCGCUGAGAGCCAGCGGUCCCACUGGACGCCAGCCACCUGCCUGGGAUCCACUGAGCCACGCGCGCCCGCCACGCCCGCACCCCACUCCACUGCGGCCUGCCAUCCUCCGGCCGUGACGCUGGCUGCAGCUUCCCCGUCUGCGCCGUUGCCUCUGGCUGUCUGCACUUCUGUUCAUGCUCCAAAGAAUCUUUCAUAAUGCCUUCAGUACCGACGCACACUCUGGCCAUUUCGUACGUGUCCUUGUGCCGUAGUGACCGGGCCUUUCUUUGGUGGCUGUGUCGCCCGCCCACCUCAAUCUCCACUUCGUGCAGCGUCCGUUUCUAGGGAUAGACGCCCAGGGAAUGAACUCUAGUUUUCUAACAGAUUAGCCGAGAUAGUAACUCACGCACACGGACAGGUUGACGCCAGAGCCACAGGAACGGCAGUGCGGGUUUGCGGGGGGCUUCGGGUGUGGGGUCCCACGGCCGGGACAGCCGUGGAAGGUUCUGGGGAUCCCUGCUGCCACAGGGACGGGUUCGGGCACCAGGUGGACCUGUGCACUCAGUAAAACGCAGCGAUUCAACCUG